rnacentral:rRNA from 1 species
UACGGAGGGAGCUAGCGUUGUUCGGAAUUACUGGGCGUAAAGCGCACGUAGGCGGCUUUGUAAGUUAGAGGUGAAAGCCCAGGGCUCAACCUUGGAAGUGCAUUCGAAACUAGGGGACUCGAGUCUCGGAGAGGGUGGUGGAAUUCCCAGUGUAGAGGUGAAAUGCGUAGAUAUCGAGAGGAACACCUGCGGCGAAGGCGGGUAGCUGGGCCGACACUGACGCUGAUGCGCGAAGGUCAGGGGAGCAAACGGG